rnacentral:rRNA from 1 species
AUUGAACGCUAACGGCGUGCUUAACACAUGAAGGUCGAGCGGCAGCAUGACUGUAGCAAUACAGUUGAUGGCGAGCGGCGGACGGGUGAGUAAUGCAUAGGAAUCUGCCUUGUAGUGGGGGAUAACCGGGGGAAAAUCGGGCUAAUACCGCAUAAUCUCUACGGAGCAAAGGGGGGGACCUUCGGGCCCUACGCUAAAAGAUGAGCCUAUGUUGGAUUAGCUAGUUGGUAGGGUAAAGGCCUACCAAGGCAACGAUCCAUAGCUGGUCUGAGAGGAUGAUCAGCCACACUGGGACUGAGACACGGCCCAGACUCCUACGGGAGGCAUCAGUGGGAAAUAUUGGACAAUGGGCGAAAGCCUGAUCCAGCAACGCCGUGUGUGUGAAGAAGGCCUUCGGGUUGUAAAGCACUUUUAGUGGGGGAGAAAAGUUCAUGGCUAAUAUCCAUGAAUGCUGACGUUACCCACAGAAAAAGCACUGGCUAACUCUGUGCCAGCAGCCGCCGUAA